rnacentral:rRNA from 1 species
GAUGAACGCUGGCGGCGUGCUUAACACAUGCAAGUCGAACGGUGAACGAGGGAGCUUGCUCCCUCCGGAUCAGUGGCGAACGGGUGAGUAACACGUGAGCAAUCUGCCCUGGACUCUGGGAUAAGCGUUGGAAACGACGUCUAAUACCGGAUACGAGGCGUGGGGGCAUCCCCAACGCCUGGAAAGAAUUUCGGUCCAGGAUGAGCUCGCGGCCUAUCAGGUAGUUGGUGAGGUAACGGCUCACCAAGCCUACGACGGGUAGCCGGCCUGAGAGGGUGACCGGCCACACUGGGACUGAGACACGGCCCAGACUCCUACGGGAGGCAGCAGUGGGGAAUAUUGCACAAUGGGCGCAAGCCUGAUGCAGCAACGCCGCGUGAGGGACGACGGCCUUCGGGUUGUAAACCUCUUUUAGCAGGGAAGAAGCGAAAGUGACGGUACCUGCAGAAAAAGCACCGGCUAACUACGUGCCAGCCGCCGCAGUAAAAC